rnacentral:snRNA from 1 species
AGCUUUGCACAGGGGCAGUAUCGUAGCCAACGAGGUUUAGCCAAGGAGCGAUUAUUGCUAAUCAAAAUGGAAAAAACUUACAAAUUGAGGAAGUUCAUGAAAACUUGUUAGAAUCCCCCAGGAGA